rnacentral:pre_miRNA from 1 species
CUACUACUCCCUCUGUCCGAAAAUACUUGUAAUUGAAAUGGAUGUAUCUAGAUGUAUUUUAGUUCUAGACACAUCCAUUUUGAUGAUAAGUAAUUCCGGACGGAGGGAGUAUUAU